rnacentral:rRNA from 1 species
GAUGAACGCUAGCGGGAGGCCUAACACAUGCAAGCCGAGCGGUAUUGUUUCUUCGGCAAUGAGAGAGCGGCGUACGGGUGCGGAACACGUGUGCAACCUGCCUUUAUCUGGGGGAUAGCCUUUCGAAAGGAAGAUUAAUACUCCAUAACAUAUUGAACGGCAUCGUUCGAUAUUGAAAGCUCCGGCGGAUAGAGAUGGGCACGCGCAAGAUUAGCUAGUUGGUGAGGUAACGGCUCACCAAGGCGAUGAUCUUUAGGGGGCCUGAGAGGGUGAUCCCCCACACUGGUACUGAGACACGGACCAGACUCCUACGGGAGGCAGCAGUGAGGAAUAUUGGUCAAUGGGUGCAAGCCUGAACCAGCCAUCCCGCGUGAAGGACGACUGCCCUAUGGGUUGUAAACUUCUUUUGUAUAGGGAUAAACCUGCCCUCGGGAGGGUAGCUGAAGGUACUAUACGAAUAAGCACCGGCUAACUCCGUG